rnacentral:rRNA from 1 species
AUGGGCUACUCUCCGGCUCAAGCCCUUGACAUCGCCAACCGCCUCAAUUGCCGCCUCGGAUCCUUUCCCACGACUUACUUGGGAACCCCCAUCAGUAACUCUCGGCUCAUUGUCGCGGACUUGCGCCCCAUGGUCGCCAAGUUACAAACGCGCAUGGAGCCUUGGCAAGGCCGAUGGCUGUCAAAGGCGGCUCGGACGAUCCUCAUUAAUUCCUCCCUCACUAGCAUCCUCAUGUUUCUUAUGAGCUUCUACAGCCUCCAUGAGACCCUUCACCAUGAGAUCACCAAAAUUCAAUCUCGUUUCUUCUGGGCGGGGGACAACAAUAAGCAGAAAUACCACAUGGUUAGCUGGCCGGACAUCUGCAAGCCCCGUGAACAGGGAGGCCUCGGUAUCAUGUGCUCUAAAUGCAUGAACAUCACCCUCCUCACCCGCUGACUCUGGCGCAUUUCGCAAGGACACGGUGGUCUCUGGCUUGACAUUAUCCGGAACAAGUACCUGCGUGGACAACCCCUCGCCUUCUGCCAGAGGUCCGGCGGCUCCCGGUUUUGGCAAUCGGUUGUCCAACUGCUUCCCGUCCUUCGCAUCGGAACCUCCAUCGCGGUUGGAUCGGGUACAUCGACGUUGUUCUGGUUCGACCGGUGGGUGGGAGACUCCCCCUUUGCGGCCCAUUUCCCCGACCUCUUCUCCAUUGCUGUCGCCCCCUUAAUCUCCGUUGAGAGGGCCCUUAUUGACCUAGGGCGCCUCGCCUUCCGGAGACCAUUUGGGCCCCCGGAAGCCGCCGCGUAG